rnacentral:misc_RNA from 1 species
GUGAGUGUUGCGUGCGUGUGUUUACAUAUAUGGAUAUGUCAGCGAGCGUAAGAAACCACGUGUGGAGCGGAUUUGUCAUUAACUGUCAGUAGUGUCACGGUUCAAUUUUAGACUUGCGGGUGUUCUUAGAGUACCCGGCUUUACAGGGGGGAGAAAAAAAUACUAGUAGUGACUGUCAUCUUAGUCAUUCACUCAGUCACCAUAAGAGUUCUUAUACUCUGUUGGUGGAUAUUAUCCGUACCCUGUAAUGUCAGCAGAUAAAACUGAAAUCUCAGAGGCUGAUGUGAUUGCUUCAAACCAUUAUUCUGUGCAUCUUGACUGGUCUUCCUCUCUGCUUCAGUUCAAAUACUACAUUCUAAGUGAUUCAGAGAGAAUCUACACCAUCUUGCAACAAACUGAGGGUACCUUAGAAGAGGAGAACGAGUGGAAAAAUGUAUAUACGGGAUAUGGUGAAAAUACGAUUGUGGAGGACCUUAAACCAUAUCAGGAGUAUCUAUUUAGAAUUCGGUUCCAUCGAAGUGAUAAUAAUUACACUAACUGGUCACCUCCAAUAAAAGUUAUCACAGAAAAAGAACCAUACUAUGGAGAGAGCUUACACAAAGCUAUUCGGAACCGGAGAUCUUCUGAAGUUGAGAAUGUGCUAAAGUCAGGAACUGUCAAAAUUGAUGUGCCAGACAAUCAAGGUCUAAGUGCAUUAAUGAAUACAGCAAAACGGGGCCAAACUGAUAUUAUGGAAAUGCUAUUGUCCUUUAAUGCUUCAGUCAAUGGAAAAGAUGAGUCAGGAAAAACAGCUUUAAUGCAUGCCUGCAUACAUGGCCAAUUGCCAGCUGUGAAGAUGCUGCUCAAUAAUGGUGCACUCUAUAAUGAUUUUGAUUUGGGUGGUUCUAGUCCAUUGCAUUAUGCUGUUGACAGCUGCAAGUGUGAGCUCAUUGAAUGGAUGAUCAAGGAUGGAGCAGAUGUGAACAUUCAAGACAGAAAUGCUGGUUGGACUCCAUUGAUACGAUGUGCUUCACUUUCUGGUAAAAAAUUAGUUGCUCUUACAUUGAUCCAUAAUGGAGCCAAUACUGAUCUCAAGGACAACAAUGGGAAGACCUGUUUAAUGGUUGCUGUUAUCAAUGGCCAUCAACAAUUAGUGGAAGUCCUUCUGGAGAACAAUGCUGAUAUCACAAUAUCUACGGUUUAAAUGUUUAUUGAUAUUUAAAAAUAAACAGAUACACAUACCAGCAGAAGGGAAAGUAGAUAUGAUAGUUACUUAGACAGACAAAUUGACAGCCAGAGUGGUCGUACAGCAUAUGAAAUGGCUGUUUCUCUUGAAAAAAGGAAAAUUAUAGAUACCAUGGAGAAAUUUAUGAAAAAACGUGGAAUA